CUCUCACAACUUGAGCUCAAUUUUAUUCCGGAGCCAUGACCUGCAGCACAUUGGUGACCAGAAGACGCCCAAAGCUUUGAAAAUGGACUUAUCGACCUCAAACCAAUGGGACAUAUUCCUACAUGGCCUUCUCCCCUGUUAGGGUUCCCAGGGUAUGUCUUUAAUGUCUGGUUUAAUAGAAGAAGACUUGGUUCUCCUUUCUGCUUCUAUGUUUAAUUUCUUGUGACAUCCCACGUCAGGUAGCUGGGAAACUCCAAUUAUACUUGUGAGAGAAUGAAAGUGGAAAAGAUGUGCCUGAGACAGGUUUGACCAGGCAACUGAAAAGAUAUCCCUAAGAGAAGACAAAGCAAAGGUAUGAAAGGAACACACGUCCCUGACUGACUAGGAGGAACAGAGCUGCCUGCUGUCUGGAACCGCUUCCUCCCAGACUAAGAGAGAAAUAAACUUCUGUUUUCUAUAU
rnacentral:lncRNA from 1 species